rnacentral:rRNA from 1 species
AUUGAACGCUGGCGGCAGGCCUAACACAUGCAAGUCGAACGAGUGGCGGACGGGUGAGUAAUGUCUGGGAAACUGCCUGAUGGAGGGGGAUAACUACUGGAACCGGUAGCUAAUACCGCAUACCAUCGGAUGUGCCCAGAUUGGAUUAGCUAGUGGGUGGGUUAAAGUCGCACCUAGGCUACGAUCCCUAGCUGGUCUGAGAGUAUGACCAGCCACAAUGGAACGUAGACACGGUCCAGACUCCGACGGGAGGCAGCAGUGGGGGAUAUUGAACAAUGGGCGCAAGCCUGAUGCAGCCAUGCCGCGUGUAUGAAGAAGGCCUUCGGGUUGUAAAGUACGUUCAGCGGGGAGGCGUUACCCGCAGAAGAAGCACCGGCUAACUCCGUGCCAGCCGCCGCGGUAAUAC